AGUGAACUCUGGCGGUAGGCCUAACACAUGCAAGUCGAACGGCAGCACAGUAAGAGCUUGCUCUUACGGGUGGCGAGUGGCGGACGGGUGAGGAAUACAUCGGAAUCUACUUUUUCGUGGGGGAUAACGUAGGGAAACUUACGCUAAUACCGCAUACGACCUACGGGUGAAAGCAGGGGAUCUUCGGGCCUUGCGCGAUUGAAUGAGCCGAUGUCGGAUUAGCUAGUUGGCGGGGUAAAGGCCCACCAAGGCGACGAUCCGUAGCUGGUCUGAGAGGAUGAUCAGCCACACUGGAACUGAGACACGGUCCAGACUCCUACGGGAGGCAGCAGUGGGGAAUAUUGGACAAUGGGCGCAAGCCUGAUCCAGCCAUACCGCGUGGGUGAAGAAGGCCUUCGGGUUGUAAAGCCCUUUUGUUGGGAAAGAAAAGCAGCAGGUUAAUACCCCGCUGUUCUGACGGUACCCAAAGAAUAAGCACCGGCUAACUUCGUG
rnacentral:rRNA from 1 species